rnacentral:lncRNA from 1 species
UUGGAUAAUAUAUUAAAUAAAAAAUAUUAGUGAAAAUUAUACACUUAGAGUUACAAGAUGAAAUAGAUAUAUUGGAUGAUGAUUCACUUCGAAAGGUGUCCUAGGGGCUAGGAGGUAAAGUAUAAUCCUAUUCAAAAAUGUCUCCUGCAUGCAAUUCUUAUAGGGGACACGUGGCAUCAUUUUAUUGCCACACGAAAGCCUCUUCCAAAACAACCACUUUUUUUAUAAAAUAGUGGUUUCACUCAACCGGACACUACAAUAAAGCAAACCGGAGCAGAGAUAUCAAAUAUUGGACCGAGUGGAUUUUCUUUGCGGGACACGUGUUCGCAUCUGGAUGCGAUGC